rnacentral:rRNA from 1 species
UACGUAGGGUGCAAGCGUUGUUCGGAAUUACUGGGCGUAAAGAGUACGUAGGCGGUUUGUUAAGUCUGAUAUUAAAGACUGGGGCUCAACCUCAGGGAUGUAUCGGAAACUGGCAGACUAGAGGACAGUAGAGGAAGUGGGGAAUUCUCAGUGUAGCGGUGAAAAUGCGUAGAUAUUGGGGAAGAACACCAGUGGCGAAAGCGACUUCCUGGACCCAGUAC